UACAGAGGAUGCAAGCGUUAUCCGGAAUGAUUGGGCGUAAAGCGUCCGCAGGUGGCUGUGUAAGUCUGCUGUUAAAUAGUGAGGCUCAACCUCAUAAAGGCAGUGGAAACUACACGGCUAGAGUGCGUUCGGGGCAGAGGGAAUUCCUGGUGUAGCGGUGAAAUGCGUAGAGAUCAGGAAGAACACCGGUGGCGAAAGCGCUCUGCUAGGCCGCAACUGACACUGAGGGACGAAAGCUAGGGGAGCGAAUGGG
rnacentral:rRNA from 1 species